GUUAAAACUAUGAAGGACAAUAGUAGCUGAACAAUCUCUUUUUAGCGAGCAAGGGAUGGUGAAAGCCUUGUAAAGAAAUUCAGUGAAACGGCAGUCUGGAGUUAACUAUUUUAAAGUGAGUGCAUUGGUAAAGCUAUACCGUUUUGCAAUGUACUAAUUAGGGUGGAACCGCGGGAAUAAUGCUCUCGUCCCUAAG
rfam:Bacillus azotoformans LMG 9581 contig148, whole genome shotgun sequence.